GCCAACAGCUUUUCAGCUUCCACAGCACUCGCAUCCAAACACAACACUUGUUGCAGGUCUGCGCUACAUGCCAGCUGUAAAACCGUCUGACAGUCGACGAGAGCCGCGUGCCAGCGCUGAAGUUUGAUGUGAGCCUGUGCACGAUUAUUGUAAGCAGCCGCUGAAGGCGAGAGCGGCUUUCUCCUGAUCCGUCAGGGCUGAAAAACCAACACGCAUUAAAGAGAUGAUGAAAAUCAUCAAAACUCAUCCUUCAGUUUUAAUCAGUAAAAUAUUCUGUUCCACAUCUUUAUGUCAAAUGUAAAUGUUCAUGACAUGAAUAUUGGAUUUGACUUUUUAUAUUGGACUGUUUUUUAAGUUUAUUAUUCAAGUAAUUUAAGUGAUUCUCUGAUGUUUGGCUGUAUUUUCACAACAUUGUGUAUCUUUCUUGUGUGCUUAUUAGUAUCCUUGCUUUCAAGAAAAAUGACUUUUAAUAAUGUAAAGUAAUGAAACAAAAAUACUGCUGAUCAAAACAU